GCGGUUGGCCAUCACAGCUUGCUUUUUGGAACAGCAAGAGGUGAAUUUCUGGACCUCUUUUCCACUACUCGCGACAACUGCUUCACAGCUUCCUUGGGCAGCCGACGUGGCGAGCUCAACCACAUCCCUCCAUCGGCAAUAAUGGUUGUUCCAUUCACGUACUUACCUGCAUCCGAGGCAAGGUAGAGAGCAGCCAUAGCAAUAUCCCAUUUUUCUCCAAUUCUGUACAGAGGCAUAUCAUCCCUUACUUUGCUAUUU
rnacentral:misc_RNA from 1 species